AGAUACCCCACUAUGCUCAGCCGUAAACCUUAACUUACACCAAAUAUCGCCAGGGAACUACGAGCCACGCUUAAAACCCAAAGGACUUGACGGCACCUUACACCCAACUAGAGGAGCCUGUCCUAUAAUCGAUGAUCCCCGUUCAACCUCACCCCUUCUAGCUUUUCAGCCUGUAUACCUCCGUCCCCAGCUUACCACGUGAGCGCCACUCAGUAGGCUCCCCCGCCUAAUUCGCGCAUACAUCAGGUCAAGGUGCAGCAAACGAAGGGGGAUGAGAUGGGCUACAUUCUCUACCCUAGAGUAUACGAAUGACUGCAUAUGAAACCCAGUCUGAAGGCGGAUUUAGAAGUAAAGAGAAAUCAAAGAGUUCUCUUUAAUCUGGCACUAAGGUGUGUACACACCGCCCGUCACCCUCCUCGAAGCUAAUAGAAAGAGUAAUUAACAACUGACUGCACUAGAGAGGAGGUAAGUCGUAACA
rnacentral:rRNA from 2 species